rnacentral:rRNA from 1 species
AAGGUGGCUAAUAACCGGACGUAAGAAAGACAGAUCGCAUGAUCAGCUUUUAAAAGGCGGCGUAAGCUGUCGCUAUGGGAUGGCCCCGCGGUGCAUUAGCUAGUUGGUAAGGUAAAGGCUUACCAAGGCGAUGAUGCAUAGCCGAGUUGAGAGACUGAUCGGCCACAUUGGGACUGAGACACGGCCCAAACUCCUACGGGAGGCAGCAGUU